rnacentral:rRNA from 1 species
AAUGAACGUUGGCGGCGUGGAUUAGGCAUGCAAGUCGAGCGCGAACCAGUCUUCGGACUGGGGAGAGCGGCGAACGGGGUAGGAAUACCUCGGUGACGUACCCCUCGGUCGGGGAUAGCGGCGGGAAACUGCCGGUAAUACCCGAUGAUCUGUCUUGAUUUUAGGUUUGGGACAGCAAAGGUGUGAUUCCGUCGGGGGAGCGGCUGAGGUCGUAUUAGCUAGUUGGUAAGGUAACGGCUUACCAAGGCGAUGAUGCGUAGGGGGUGUGAGAGCAUGGCCCCCACCACUGGCACUGAGACACUGGCCAGACACCUACGGGUGGCUGCAGUCGAGAAUCUUCGGCAAUGGGCGCAAGCCUGACCGAGCGACGCCGCGUGCGGGAUGAAGGUCUUCGGAUUGUAAACCGCUGUCGGAGGGGAUGAAGUGUAUCAGGGUAAUCCCUGGUAUUUGACAGAGCCUCGGAGGAAGCCACGGCUAACUACGUGCCAGCAGCCGCGGUAAACGCAU